rnacentral:lncRNA from 1 species
UGUAUGCAAUGAAAAGGUUCACGUUUGGGGUUGUAGGGGGGAAAAUCGAAAAGCAAUUGUGAAGCAUUGAGCUCAAAUGUUGUGAAAAGAAAAAUUCAUGAGAAAAAGAAAAGAAAAGACGAAAAGCAUGAAGAAAAGCUCAAGGCAAAAGAAAAAGAAAAGGGAAAAAGUUGGGAAUGAGUGAGAUUGGUGAGGAAGAGAGUUGUGCUUAAAAUGUUAAAUAUUUUGAUAGCUCUCUUAACUCAAGGACUUUGUAUUCCGGAAAAAAACAAUUUUUCUUGUUAGCCCAACCUCAUUACAAGCCUUGGAAAAGUCCUUUUGAUGACAUUUGCAUGUAAAGAUGUUGAUUGUUUGAGAUGAAUGGCAGUUUUGUUUCAGGUGACUUGUGAACAAUAGAGAGUGGAGUGUCACCUUAAACACUUGAGUGAUUGAGUGAAACACUUGCUUGGUAUGAACUGUUAACUUUCAUGAAUACAUUCUUGCUUAGUGGAUUGGUCAUUCAUAAUGUGUAACAUCUGUUGUGCAAUCUCUGGAUUGAAAGCAUGCAUGCAUCUUAUUUUGGAUUUCACUGAGGAUAUUGAGUUGAGUAGUUUUGUCAUGGACUUUGGGAUUGUUGAACCAUUGGAUGGAAGAGGAUAAACCCAAGUUUU